rnacentral:rRNA from 1 species
GAUGAACGCUAGCGGCAGGCUUAACACAUGCAAGUCGAGGGGUAACAUAGAAAAGCUUGCUUUUCUGAUGACGACCGGCGCACGGGUGCGUAACGCGUAUACAACCUACCUCUUAGCGGGGAAUAGCCCAGGGAAACUUGGAUUAAUGCCCCAUAGUAUAUAGACUUCUCCUGAAGUUUAUAUUAAACAUUUAUGGCUAUUAGAUGGGUAUGCGUCCUAUUAGUUAGUUGGUAAGGUAACGGCUUACCAAGGCAGCGAUAGGUAGGGGUCCUGAGAGGGAGAUCCCCACACUGGUACUGAGACACGGACCAGACUCCUACGGGAGGCAGCAGUGAGGAAUAUUGGACAAUGGGCGAGAGCCUGAUCCAGCCAUGCCGCGUGCAGGAAGACUGCCCUAUGGGUUGUAAACUGCUUUUACAGAGGAAGAACCACCCCACGUGUGGGGGUUUGACGGUACUCUGCGAAUAAGGAUCGGCUAACUCCGUG